AAAACAAAGAGAAGUACAAUGCUUAGUAGGCCUCUUUGGACUUUGGAGGCAGCAUCUUCUGUCCCUGUAAAUACUGCUUCAACCCAUUUUUCUGGGUGAUAUGGAAGGCGGUCAUCUUUGAGUAGGAUCCAGGAAAGAAAGCGUCUGCAGCAGGUCAGGUGGUGGUGUAAGUGACCCUGCCAUUUGUGUCAUACAACCUGGCCGCCCCUAUGGUCCUCACUGGUAGGAAUGGGACGGUAUGCUCUCUAUGGCACUACGGAGAUGUAUGGUGGCAAAAGACAUCACAUGGAGCUUAUGGCAAGCCCCGGGAGAGUCAGAAGGUAACCCCUGGCAUUUUGGAGAAAGGCCAUGUCUAUCGGUGGCGGAAAGGUAUGCAUCAUUUGAAAAGUAGCUCUUAGUAAGCUUCUCGGCCCCGGUAGAGUGGGGACAUGUCACCAUGGGAUGUCAACUGCAUGGCCAGGCUGGGUUCCGUCAGACCCACUGACUUAUAAGAUUGGGUGGACUCAUCAUAAGGGGAAGUGAGAUAUCUAGGCCUGGACAUAAGCAGGGUCAGAGUGAAUGAGGAAGUUGCACAGUUAGCUGGGCCCCAUAUCACCCAGCACUGUUUUCCGGUAUUUUUCCCUCAGCUCACAUCGAUGGUCCGCUACGGGGCCAGGGCGACUUGAUUCACUGGUGCGUGUAAAUGAUGGACUACGCCGCUCAGGGAUGGCCUUGGAAGAUGGCAGCCAGGAGCAGUCCUCCAGGGGACAUAUAUCUGGGUAGAAUACAUGGCUCUGAGAUCCAGAAGAUAGCAGUAGGAGAGGUCUUUCUCACCAUUGGUCCCAGUGACCAACAGAGGGAACUGUGCUUUCUGUCCUUGCCACAUUGGCUUCUGCAGCUUCCAGGGGAAGAACGUCUUCACCAGAGGACACAUUUCUCAGGCAACUGGUCCGACCAAAAUCCUGGAGAAGAAGCUUCCCUGAUGGGGCACACUCAUGACAAGCAGCAACUUCAUCCGUGGUGACUAUGGACCACGGGCACUGCGGGGCUCUGCUUGGAGCUCUCUUCAGGGCCAGGUUGUCCACCACUCAGCUGCCUCGCUGGGAACUGCCCUCAGCCUCAGGGAAGUGCCCCCCUGCAAGGUUCCUUCACCUCUCAGAGCGCAGUCCAUGUCCGAUGACUGACUGGCCUGGGGGGUCCAGAUGCAAUCUUGGCAAGAGUCAUCCUCUCCCAGUGCUCAAUUCCACCUUCCCCCACUUCCUCAAAGAUGUGUCUUCUGAGAACACUCCCAGUAAACCCCCCUGGGUGCAGUUUUGCAUCUCAGACUCUGUUUCCAUGGAACCCAAGCUGGCUUUCCAGUUCCAAAGCCAAGGGCUUUAGGAUACUGGAAAUGCCUCAUGGAAUAUAUAAGGUUUUGGGGGGAAAAUAAGAGUAACAGUAGCUUCUCCCAAGCCAAAGCAAAACAAAACAAACCAAAAAAUAAAAUUAGGGCAAAAAGGUUUCCCAGUAAAUUUUCUUUUAUUGUUACAGUAUAACCCUCUUUGUCCCUAAUGAUGUUCUUACUUUAAAAUCUACUCUUUUCCCCCUUUGAUAUUAAUAUAGCUACUCUGGUUUUACUGGUAAAAUUUACCUGGCAAGUCCAAAACUCUUCAAUCUGUGGAUUUCAUCUUAGUUCAUGUUAAUCUCUGUCGAAAGCUUAUUUUUCAUGACAAAUUCUUAAAGGAGCACCUGCUCCUAGCCCGGUGCUCUUAGCACUGUGGUGGUCUUCUGUGGGCCUGAGUGUGGGGUCUGUUUCCCUCACCCUCACAGGGGGCUGGAUUCCUUUGGGGUCCCAGCUCUGUGGAAGAAGGGUCUCCUGCCAUACUCUCCACUUUGUAAUGGGACGCGGGCUUUUCAUAAAGGCCACAAAGAUGAAAGUUCACCGGAUUUGCUCUCAAGGCAAAAGUGAUUUCAAUAGUAGGCUUCUCACUUACAAUUUUCCCUUAGAUUUUGGCCUGAUAUUCAUAAAGAUGUUUUUAAGAAUUACAAAAAAUAUAUAUCCAGAGUUCUUAGCUGUUUUCAGGAUUUAGUCCGAACACUGGGCCUGCCAUAUUACUGGAAACAGAACUCCCAGUAGUAAAUUUUUUAAGAAAGAAAUUAUUGAUGAUGGUAGACUUUUACCAUCUACUCGCUCUGCAUAUGCAGAGAACUUGUUUAACUUAUGUGAUGGAAAUAUCCUCUUUAAUGUGGGCAUGAUGGAUUAUAGGAUUCUAAAACUCCAUCCUGUUCAUUUUAAUUCAUUUCAUGAGGCAAAGAGGGAGAGGAAAAUUCUUCACUAUUUAUUGGAUGGGUGCACAUUACUAAACAAUUUCAAUAAUUGAUUUGCAUUAUACAGUCAAGACAAUAAAUUUGAAAAUCAAUGAAAGCCACUUACACAACCGCUUCGUGGAACAAAUAUGUAAGAUGUGAAUAUUUAUGAUGGUAAAUCAGAUUAAGUUGCUGAACACUUUUUUCUCAUCUGUCGGCAAUGAUGCAAAGCUCUGGGAGUAAGCUAUCAACUUUUUGUAGUGUGUUUUGAUUAAGUAUAAAUAAACGAAUCACAUUUUCACGGUUAUAAACUAGUUCAUCAAAUGGGGGAGGCAGUGCAAACAGCCUUCUUCUCUAGAAACAUAUGGUUAGCAGUGUAGGCUUAUGAAAAUUGUGUCAUAGUUCAACAUUUAAAUUAAGGAAAACUUCCAAAGGCUAAGACAUGAUAACAGAUUUUACAGCACCCAUGACAAAGCUUCACGUUGAUUUUUUUAAAAAAAAAACUAUGAAACUGACAACUAAGUUUUAAUGCCUCGGAAUUGUCCCCAAAGAACCUUGAGUUUGUUGUGUUCAUUAACUUUUUAGGACUGUCCUUCCUGCUGUCCAAGUUCUAAACACAGGCUUUGCCUUUAGGAUGCUUUUCUUUUUCACCGAAAUAUAGGUGUGACAUUUGGGGCACUUUUGUAAGGUUUUUGCUAGGGAACAUAAAAGAAAGCCCAUCUUUUCUCUUAUUCUCCUUCUGCCUUGGACUCCUGGUGCUUCCACACCUGGUGGAGACGGAGACCUCAUGGAGGCUGAGGAAACGGACAUACCUUGAGUCCCUGCUUUUACGGCUGCUGGGUGGCGGAUGGCGAUUCUGCUCCGCCAA